UACAGAGGUCUCAAGCGUUUGUUCGGAUUCAUUGGGCGUAAAGGGUGUGUAGGUGGCGCCGUAAGUCGGGUGUGAAAUUUCGGAGCUUAACUCCGAAACUGCAUUCGAUACUGCGGUGCUUGAGGACUGGGAGAGGAGACUGGAAUUCAUGGUGUAGCAGUGAAAUGCGUAGAGAUCAUGAGGAAGACCAGUGGCGAAGGCGGGUCUCUGGACAGUUCCUGACACUGAGACACGAAGGCCAGGGGAGCAAACGGG
rnacentral:rRNA from 1 species